rnacentral:rRNA from 1 species
UGGGGAAUAUUGGACAAUGGGCGCAAGCCUGAUCCAGCAAUGCCGCGUGUGUGAAGAAGGCCUUCGGGUUGUAAAGCACUUUUAUCAGGAGCGAAACGCUGUCGGCUAAUACCCGGCGGAACUGACGGUACCUGAGGAAUAAGCACCGGCUAACUUCGUGCCAGCAGCCGCGGUAAUACGAAGGGUGCAAGCGUUAAUCGGAAUUACUGGGCGUAAAGCGUGCGUAGGCGGUUUCUUAAGUCUGCUGUGAAAUCCCCGGGCUCAACCUGGGAAUGGCAGUGGAUACUGGGAGGCUAGAGUGUGUCAGAGGGUGGUGGAAUUCCCGGUGUAGUGGUGAAAUGCGUAGAGAUCGGGAGGAACAUCCAGUGGCGAAUGGCGGCCACCUGGGGACAACACUGACGCUGAGGCACGAAAGCGUGGGGAGCAAACAGGAUUAGAUACCCUGGUAGUCCACGCCCUAAAGCGAUGCGAACUGGAUGUUGGUCUCAACUCGGAGAUCAGUGUCGAAGCUAACGCGUUAAGUUCGCCGCCUGGGGAGUACGGUCGCAAGACU